rnacentral:rRNA from 1 species
GGAUGAACGCUGGCGGCGUGCCUAAUACAUGCAAGUCGAGCGAACAGACGAGGCUCUUUCGCCUCUUACGUUAGCGGCGGACGGGUGAGUACCACGGUGAUAACCUACCUAUAUUAGUGGGAUAACUUCGGGAUACCGGAACUAAUACCGGAGAAUAUAUUGAACCGCAUGGGUCAAUAGUGAUAGACGGUGUUGCGGUCACUCAUAGAGGGAUCCGCGCCGCAUUAGCUAGUUGGUAAGGUAACGGCUUACCAAGGCAACGAUGCGUAGCCGACGUGAGAGAGUGAUAGCCCACACUGGAACUGAGACGCGGUCCAGGCUCCUACGGGAGGCAGCAGUAGGGAAUCUUCCGCAAUGGGGGAAAGCCUGACGGAGCGGCGCCGAGUGAGUGAUGAAGGUCUUCGGAUCGUAAUACUCUGUUACUGGGGGAGAACAAAUGUGUAAGUAACUAUGCACGUCUUGACGGUAACUAAUCAGAAAGCAACGGCUAACUACGUG